rnacentral:misc_RNA from 1 species
GGCAUUUUCUGCUGUGGCAGCCAUGGAAGGGAUUACAAAGCUCUCAACAGGGAAGUUGAUCUCUCUUUCAGAGCAAGAACUAGUUGAUUGUGACACAAGUGGUGAAGACCAAGGCUGCGAAGGUGGCCUUAUGGAUGAUGCAUUUGAAUUCAUAAUACAAAAUGGAGGCCUAACUACUGAAGCCAAUUACCCCUACAAAGGAGAGGAUGGUACUUGCAACACAGGGAAGUCAUCUAAUCAUGCAGCCAGAAUUACUGGUUAUGAAGAUGUGCCCACCAACAGCGAGGAGGCACUAUUGAAGGCAGUAGCCAACCAUCCAGUUUCUGUUGCCAUUGAUGCCAGUGGAUCUGCCUUCCAAUUUUACUCAAAUGGGGUCUUUACAGGAGAUUGUGGAACUGAACUAGACCAUGGUGUUACUGCAGUGGGGUAUGGGACAAGUGAUGAUGGUACCAAGUAUUGGUUAGUGAAGAACUCUUGGGGAACUUCAUGGGGUGAGGAUGGAUACAUCAGAAUGGAAAGAGAUAUUGAAGCUAAGGAAGGCCUUUGUGGAAUAGCCAUGGAGCCUUCCUAUCCAACUGCAUAAAUGGCAGCAAAGUAUAGAUGGAUGGACCUUAAAAUCUAAAUAUCUAAUUCUCCAAAAAUAUAAGUUAUCAGGUGUGC